rnacentral:rRNA from 1 species
GCCCUGGCUACGGCUAGAGCAUGCUCGUCGAUCGGAGACGGGAACCUUGCUCCUUGAUUCAGCGGCGGACGGGUGAGUAAUGCCUAGGAAUCUGCCUGGUAGUGGGGGACAACGUUUCGAAAGGAACGCUAAUACCGCAUACGUCCUACGGGAGAAAGCAGGGGACCUUCGGGCCUUGCGCUAUCAGAUGAGCCUAGGUCGGAUUAGCUAGUAGGUGAGGUAAUGGCUCACCUAGGCGACGAUCCGUAACUGGUCUGAGAGGAUGAUCAGUCACACUGGAACUGAGACACGGUCCAGACUCCUACGGGAGGCAGCAGUGGGGAAUAUUGGACAAUGGGCGAAAGCCUGAUCCAGCCAUGCCGCGUGUGUGAAGAAGGUCUUCGGAUUGUAAAGCACUUUAAGUUGGGAGGAAGGGCAGUAAGCUAAUACCUUGCUGUUUUGACGUUACCGACAGAAUAAGCACCGGCUAACUCUGUGCCAGCAGCCGCGGUAAUACAGAGGGUGCAAGCGUUAAUCGGAAUUACUGGGCGUAAAGCGCGCGUAGGUGGUUCGUUAAGUUGGAUGUGAAAGCCCCGGGCUCAACCUGGGAACUGCAUCCAAAACUGGCGAGCUAGAGUAUGGUAGAGGGUGGUGGAAUUUCCUGUGUAGCGGUGAAAUGCGAAUAUAUAGGAAGGAACACCAGUGGCUAAGGCGACCACCUGGACUGAUACUGACACUGAUGGGCGAAAGCGAGUGGAGCAAUCAGGAUUAGAUACCCUAGGUGUCCACGCCGUAAACGGUGUCCACUAUCCGGCUGGAAUCCUGAUAAUUUUAGUGGCCAAUCUUGCGCAUCAGUGUUACCGCUUGGUGAUACUGUCGCAAUAUUAAAUCUCAAUUUAUUGUACUGGGGCCGCACGAGC